rnacentral:lncRNA from 1 species
ACACUCUUAGCACCCUACAAGCAGGUAUGUGCUUACCAGCAAACUAAAGCAAAUGGAAAUUAAGAAGCAUGAUCACCACCAGCAAGGUGCUGCUGAACUAUAAGCCUUCAGAUGGUCAGAUAAAGUACCUGAUGCUGAAAAACAGGAAAUUGAAUCAUGUCUCCAAAAUGUGCCUUUUGUCAUGCACUGUUACAGCUAUAUUUCUUGGAUGUGAAUCCUGCCAGAUUGUGGCAUGGCACUCAACUCCUCAAAGAAGCCAUUGAGUUCCAGUCAGGCACUGCGAGAAUUGCAGAAGAAAUCUCAAACUUGGCCCCUGCCUCCAAGAAGCUGACAAUGGCCUGACUAUUCCUUGUGCUCCAGACCAAUAUAUGCAGUUCUUGGAUUGGACUGAUUGAGAAGGAAGGGGAUCCUGAAUGUUACAAUAGCCAUAAGUAAGAAGACAGUGAUAAAGCUGGGGACAUUAAGCCUCUAAGUUUUGAAGACAGAUGGAUCCUGGAGAAUGACAGUGGAUAAUCAUAAACUUGAGCAAGUGAUGACUCUAACUGCAGCUGUUGUACUAGAUAUGGUUUUAUUGCUUGAGCAAGGUAACACAUUCCCUGGUAUUUCUCAUGCAGCUAUUGAUCUGUCAAACAGAUUUUUCUCAAUGCCUAUUAGUGAAGACCCCCAGAAGCAGUUUGCUUUCAACUGGCAAGGAUAGCAAUACACCUUCACUGUUCUACCUCAAAGGUAAAUAUCACAGUAGUUCAUUACAUUAUACCAUUAUGCUGAUUGGACCUAGCGAGCAAGAAGUAGCAACUACUCUACCACUUAUUGAUAAGACAUUUGCAUAUAAGAGGGUAGAAAAUAAAUCUGACAAAAAUUCAGGGGCCUUCUACCUCAGUGAAAUUUCUAGGGGUCCAGUGUUGUGGGGCAUGUUGUGAUGUCCCUUCCAAGGUGCAUCUGACCUCACCUACAACCAAGAAAGAGGCAUAAUGCCUGUUGGGCCUCUUUGGAUUUUGGAGGCAAUGUAUUUCUUAUUUGGGUGUGUUAUUCUCACUAUUUACUGAGUGCCUUUUUGUAAGAUAUCCCUGAAGGACAGUGGUGAAGGGAAAUCUGCCCAGUAAGAAGAAUACCUGGUUGUGCACUUUGCUUAGCAAGAAACAUGGCCAGAUGUACAACUAUGUACAAUGUGAAUGGCUGUAGCUAAUGGUUUAUCUGGAUGCUCAAGAGCUUAAGAGGAACAUGAUUAGAAAAUUGGUAACAAAUUUGGGGAGAGGUAUAUGAAUAGAUCUCUCUCAAUGGGCAAAAAUGUGUAAAAAUAUUUGUGUCUCAUAUGAAUGCUCAUCAAAGGGUGACCUCAGCAGAAGAGGAUUUUGAUAAUCAAGUGGAUAAGAUGACCUGUUCUACAGAUACCAGUCAGCCUCUUUCCCCAAACACCCCUGUCAUCACCCCGUGGGCUCAUGAACAAAGUGACCAUGAUGGCAGUAUGGGGGUAUGCACGGGCCCAGCAACAAGGGUUUCUACUUCCCAAGGGCAAGCCAACCGUGGUCACUACUAAGUGCCCAAUCUGCCAGCAGAGACCAACACCGAUUCCCCGAUAUGACACCUUUCCCCGAGUAAUCAGCCAGCUACCUGGUAGCAGGUUGGUUACACUGGACCUCUUUCUUCAUGGAAUGAGCAGUGUUUGGUCCUUACUGCAGUUAUCACUUACUCUGGAUCUGGAUUUUCCUCCUCUGCCUGCAUUGCUUCCAUCAAAACUACCAUCUUACAGAAUGCCUUAUCCACCCUCAUGGUAUCCCACAUAGCACUGCUUCUCAUCAAAGAAAUCUCUUCACAGCAAAUGAAGUUAGUCACCACCGGUGCCUUUCAUAUGAAGUAGCAGAAAAAGGGAAGGAAAGAAAACAGUUAAUAUCCAAACAUUGUUCUGUUCAAUUGGAAGCUGAGACUCCUUGGGGCUCCUAAUACCACUAGCAGGCAAGGUGUACUGGGCAAGGCCAUUGACCUCAGUUACCAAGGGUAAAUCAGGUUGCUGCAGCACAUAGUAGGGGCAAGGAAGACUGUGUCUGGGAGCCAGGGAUUUCGUGGUACACACUUCAGUAGUCCUAUGCCCAAAAAUACUGAUCAGUGGGAAAUUAUGGUAACCGAAUAAAGAUAAGAUCACUAAGAAUUUGUAUCCCAUAGGCAUAAGGUUCGAUUAACCCCACCAAGUAAAAAAUUCUGACCAGCCAAAGUUCUGGCAGAGGGCAAGGGAACAUGGAAUAGGUGGAACACAGAAUUAACAUAAUGAUUAUCAACAUAGGACAUAUGACCAGCUACAGAAGCAGGGACUACAGCAGCCCCCAAUUUAACAGAAUUGUGACGUAUGUUCCCUGGCAGAAGUCAUCCUCUCUUAGACAACAGGAUCUCCAAACCCACCCAUCCCAAGGUUUUAAGGAGAGGGAAUGGCUAAUUAAUUGUUUAUUAUUAUUAUUAGGUAUUUAUUGUUAUGAUGAUUCUUAGGUAUAAUAGUGAAAGAGGCAAUUUCUACCUCCACCCCUCAAACAUGAAAACUGCCUGUAUUGCCUGAUGGAUAAACAGCCUCCUCCUCUAUAAUGUUCUUUCCUCAAUCUUUGCAUUGGUUUGUUUCUAGACUCAGCUCAAAUAUGAUCUCUUCAAAGUAGCCUUCCAUGACCACCUGUCAUCUAAAACAAUGCACUGUCUCCAUCCCUACAAUCAUUAUCUUGCUGCAUAUUUUAUUUCCUUCCCAGUAUUUCACAGGCUCUGAAAUUAUCUUUUUAUUUCCUUGUCUAUCCCCUUUCUUCCCCCACUCCACAAAGCCUGUGACUUUGUCUUAUUUCUUCAGUACUUAGAACAGUUCCUGGUACAUAGAAGAAGCUCACAAAAUAUUUCUCAAUAACAUAAGGACUUCUGGCCUCCAAGAAUAUAAGGCAAGAGAAAACCAUGUACCAAAGUUCAAGUAUGAGCCCUUCAAGUAUGAUUCCUGCAGAGGGGACAAUUCUUUUGCUACAAGGAGAAACUCAAGAGGAUAGGUGUAGAACUGACAACUAUUCUAAAAUAUUCUGUAAUUAUCUGUAUUUUCUAUCUUAAAGUGACAAUGAUGGAAUAGGAUUCAGAAGGGAAAUAUUUAAGCAUGCUGCUUUGACUUAAUUAUAGGCACAAAAUGAAAAUUUGGAUUUUUGAGAGAAAGAACACUAGAAGCGGCCCAUACUGACUCUAGUGUAGCCCCUCUUUGAAAGAGGCAAAAUGAAAUUUGGAAUGUGUAGUUUCGGGGUGCUGCGUUGGAAGGACUGUAAAGAAAUUUGUGAGGGCUGUGAGGACAACUGUGUCUUAUUCUCUAUAUCAUGCCAUCACUCAGCAAAGCUCACAGCAUUAAGGAUGAGAGGUGGAAGCAUUUGAGGAACUUUAUAAAAUGUGUUUGCAUCCACAUCGCAGAAGUAAAGCUGGGCUACACCCAGCAACUAAUUUCCACAGUGGAAAAUGCACCAUCUGAGGUGCAUUUCAUUUCCUGGGAGGCAAAUGACAAACCACAAUGUAAUUUCUCACACGUUUGACCGAAGAAUCCCAAUACUGUUGUGUUCAUCUGGACCAGAGGCACAGGAUGGGCAUGUCUGUUCCCCAUUACUGCCUCACUGAACUGGAUGGAGGAACAACUUGGGAAUGGGGACCAUGGCCCAUGUCAUGUCAAUUACAGAUAGCAAACCUCCCACACAAGUACCCUAGUUUAUAAAUAAUAGGCCCUCUGAGAACCCACAUGACAUCCUAAGUGCUGGAUGGUACAUCUGAAAGCACUGAGAGAGCUGAAAAUCACAGACAGCCAAGUAAGUCCCUGCUGAAUACAUAUCUAAGGAGCUUUGCAUGCAUUGUUUAUUCCAGCAACUUUAUGGAAUAAAUUACGUACAACAAAUUAGUUUCAGAUGGUAGGAUAUGAAGAGCUGAUGUGCUGUAUAAAGGAAGGUGAACUCCCACUUUUGACCCAACCACUUCCCAUCUCGGGCAUCUCAGACUCAGAAUUCAGAUGCAAUUCAUUUCUGAAAUGCAGUGGAGAUCAGAAAGUUAAUAAGUGAUGAGGUUUAGAGAUUUCAAAAAGAAAUUUAUGAGUAUUGUUAACUCAUUAUAUUAUCCUAUGAUUUCUGGUUGUUAUAUGUGAAACCAUAGGUAAAAUUGAACCCAUCCUUCCUUCAUUCCUUCAUUAUGCACAGCAAGCAAAAAUAAAUGUCUUCCUGACAUUUCCAACCUGCACAGAAAUUCCAUAAUAGAUUCAACUCAACACACAUUUAAAACCUCACUGCCUACCAUACUGGGAUGUCAUCAAAUUACUGAAAGAGACAUAAUGUCUUUCUCUAUUCACCCUGAAGUCAUAAAUUAUUUUUUAAAUUAACACAGUAAAAUUGACUUAUUUUGGUGUAUAGUUUUGUGAAUCUUACUACAUGUAUAGAUUCAUGGAACCAACACUGCAGUCAGGGUAAUAAUUCUAGCACCCCCAAAAUUGCCUAACAUUAUUACUACUUUACAGUCCCUCUCCUACUUUAAGCACUAGCAAACCACUGGUCUGUCCUCUGUCACUAUAGUUUUGUCUUGUCAAGAAUGUCACAUAACUUUUGUCAUGUAACUUUUCACUCAGCAAAAUGCCUUUGAGAUUCAUCUAAGUUGCUCCAUGUCUCAAUAAUCUGUUCCUUUUUAUUGCUAGGUGAUACUCUGUUAUAUGGAUAUACCACAGUUUGUUUAUCCAUUCACCCUUUGGAGGACACGUAGUUAUUUUCAGUUUUUAACAAUUACAAAUAGAGCUGCUGUAAACAUUUAUGUAUGAGUUAUGUUGUGAACAUAACUUUUCAUUCUCUUGGGUAAAUACCUAGAAGUGGGAUUGCUGGGUCACAUGCUACACGUAUGUCUAUAAGAAAUUGCCAGACUUUUUACAGAGUGGCUAUACAUAAUGUCUUUUUGAUAAGUAAAAAUAUAAAAACUAUUAAAUGACCCCCGACAGCUUGUUUACUUGUGUUGAGGGGAUUCCGAUAGUUAUUCACCAUGAUAAAAUAUUGUUCUUAAAAUAAUCAGAGGCAUUUGACUUCAUUUCUUUCUUUUUACUUUUAAAGCUUCAAUUAAGUCUUUCAUAUUUUAAUGUGAUUUUUAAAACAAAAUUAGGUGCUUAACAUCGUAGAAGCAUAAGGCCUUGAGGAAGCUACUUAUACAUGAAGAGAUUUUAGUCAGAGAGAACUAGGAGAAAAUUUCAUCAUAGCAAUAUAACCCAGUGUCACAUGUAUCAAGUCCAAUUUUCAAUUCAUAAAUAAGCCUCCCCCUCCCUUCCUCCAAAAACGUCCACCCCAAGCUAAUUACAGAAGAAAAAGGAACAUGAACACCAGCCAGAAAAGAUUCACAGUUGCCACUCUUUAGUUGCUACUUUAAUGGGAAACACAUGUGCAAGAUACCACCCAGGAGACAACUGACCAAUGUGCUCUGAAAAAUGGAAUGUCACAAAAAUGAGCCACACAAGAUGGCUUACUCUAUUGAAUAGGCUGAACACAUAAAAAUGUUUGAUACCAUUUUGUUCUUAUAUAAAUAUGGGGAGGUCCUGAGAUGAGAUGCUGAGACAGAAAUUAAUUUGUAGCAACAAAGUUGAAAGGCAAUGAUUUAAAUUAGCCCUCGCUUCUUAUCUCAUCCACAUGCCCCACAAUAGUUGACCAUCAUAUUUGGAAAGUACUUAGCAAAGUUUACAUGAGGAGAAAUCCUGCAAAGAAAUUGGAAGAAACGACAGAGUGGCGAUUGUUCUUAUUAAAUAACAACACUAACACUCAUUAGCUACCAUCACUACAAGUAGCCAGUUCUGUUCUGAGUGCUGUAUGCACAGCAUCUCAUUAUAUCCAUAAUUUACAGGGUAGAAUUAUCUCCACUGUAUUAGUCAGCUAGAAUUGCCAUAAAAAAAUACCAUAGACUGAGUGGCUUAAACAACAGAAAUUUAUUUCUCAUGGUUUUGGAAGCCAGAAAGUAUGAGAUCAAGGUGCCAGCUGAUUUGGUUCCUGGUAAGGGUUCUCUUCCCGGCUUGCAAACGACCACCUCCUCGCUGUGUCCUCACAUGGUGGAGGGGUGGGGGUGGUACGGAGAGAGAUAGGGCGAAAGGGAGAGUGACAGAGCUCUCAGGUGUUUCUUCUGAUAAGGGCACUAAUCCCAUCAUGAGGUCCCCAUCCUCAUGACUUCAUUUAACCCCAAUUAUCUCCUAAAGGCCUCAUUUCAAAAUACCAAUACAGUAGGCUUUAGGGCUUCCACUCAUGAAUUGUCAGGGAGAGUCAGGGAGGAACAGUUAAGUUAAUAGCAUCCACUUUACAAAUAAAUGAUGUUUCAAGAGAACAAGGAGUUCACAACAGCUCACUCUGUUGGCAAUCAGCAGAGUUUGAACUUGAACCCAAGAGUAUCAGACUCUAAGAGAAAAAUAUCUACUAUUUAUUGACUGCCCACUAAGUGUCAGGUGUAUCUAUACAACAUCUCUAUUCUCUAUGGGAAAUCAAGUUUUUCCCAUUAUUCUUCCGAGUUGUAGAUAUGGAAACUCUAGCCCCAAAUACUUAACCAGCUAUUCACAACCUACCAUCUAAGCGUAACAUACUGCAUAAAAUUUAUCCUAGUGCUUAUCAAAGUGAGGCCCCCAUCAUUACCUGGGAGCUAAUUAGAAAUGCACAUUUUGGGACCAAACAGCAGACCUACCUAAUCAGGAACUCUAUGGUGGUGUCCACAAUCUGUGUGUUAACAUACCUUCUAGGUAAAUCUGAUCCAUGAUAAAUUUUGAGAACCACUCGUUUGUUCUAUAAAUUUAUUAAAAUAACUAGUACUUUCAAAACUCGAUAAUAAGUGGUAUAUCCAGAAUUCAUAUACAGGUCUGUUUGGUUCUAAAGCCUGUGGCUUUCUGCUAUACUAUACUUCUUCCAUCCCAGCUUUACAAAGGGAAGAUCUGUGAUUGCAGAGCCCAGUUCUGAAUUCUGCUUUGCUGCUGUAAUUCCGAUCAGUUCUCCUACCUAUAAAAAUGUGAUACAGGGAAAUGUCCAAGGAUAAUCCCUGAGAAUUCAUAACGCUGCUUAAUACUAACCAAGAAACACCUUUGGUUCAAACUAGAAACCAAGCUUUGUGAAACUUUUAUUUGGGCCGGACAAUUUUGUGUUCCAUUUAGUGUAAAUGAGAAACAAUCCAGUAUACGGAAACAGUAAGUAUGGAACAAAGUUACCUCUUUUAAAAAGAAAAAAAAUAAUUUUAUCCCUCUUUGACUGUUUUUAAUCAUGUUUAAUCCAUCUAAUUGAUCAUUGCUUUAUCUACAUGUUUUCGCUGUAUAAUUACACCAUUUUCUCCCUCCAAGGAACAAGACCAUAUUAUAUCCCUUUAUACAAUCUUGAUAAUUUACACAAAGGAAUAAAAAUCUGCUUAUAAUAAAAUGGAGAUUUCUAUUUCUAAUUUUUGGAGUGGUAAAUGAAGGUAUCUGAUCUCACACCAAGUGCCUUUUAAAAUCAUUCGCAAAAUAAAAGCACUUUGAAAAGGGUUAUUUCCAGUGCAAAUAUAGUCACCUGCUCUUGUGAUCAAUAAACCUCUAAAACAUUAUACUAAUAUUUACAGUAUUAAUGAACAUGUGCACAAAGCCUUUUUACACGUGGUAAAACUCAUUUAAUCAUCACACACAUGUGAGGUAGCUUUUGGGAUUAUUCCCAUUUCACAGAUGAGGAAAAUGAGAAUCAGGGAGGGUAAGUAACUUGCCAGAGCUCCUUCAGCCAGGAAGUACAGGACUCUAGAUAUUAAGCUUAUUAAAGAGCUCUUGCUGAACAUUGAUUCAGACACUGACACUUGGCUCUGGAUGGAUGGGCUCAGUGUUGCUCUGCAUCUGGAUUACUUCCAAAGGUCCAUCUGUGAGCCUGCCUGACCCCCGGGAUGGGGCGGCGCAGCCUUUGCAGCCUUGGCACUCCAUCUGGAGAGACUGAAAGGGAACAGCAAGGUGGUGACUCAGUGGCCUUGACUGUCCCUCAGUCUCCUGGGAGACAGAGAGCAAAGUGAUAAAGUGACAGAGUGGGAACUGUAGUUCUCGUUUCUCUAUUUGUUUUCCACUUGAUUCUUAAAAACAGACCUAUUAAUCAUUUAGUUCAUGACUGGUAAUUCCACUGACUCCCAACACAUUUGAGUCAAUGAAGCAAAAACUAGAAAGUUGUGUGUUCAAACUUCUCAGAUGGGAGAAGAAUUAAAAUCCUUUGAAAACAUUUCACCGGCCAGCAGAAAGACUCACAUGUUUUUCUGCUUCAGAGUUGUAGAUGGAUGUGACUUAAGCCCUAACUGGGAAAAACUUUGUGUGAUUUAUAACAGCAGAUAGAUAUUCUGAGUAAGCUUCUCAUACUCUUUUAUUCCACCUACCAAAAACAAAAGCUGUUUUCAGCAGAGCCCAAUGAGGUGAAAAGGGCUUUCCAAGGAAACUGUUGCGUGUGCUUCUUGAUUCUGUCCUGAUUUGGGAAGUUCAUCUAAGCUGAAAUUACUUUGUGGAGCUGACAGGAAGUUUGUCCAAUGACUUUUGCCUUUCACAGCCCUGCUCUCCUUAUCUCUACAGACACGCUUCCCACUUUCUUUCUUUUCUGGCUCCCUUCCUCCUUCCCUUCACACACACCUUCACACCUCCCAUCUACUCUGAUUGUAUUAAUUGAUACCAUAAAGAACACUGUUAUAAAGGGAGGCACAAGUGUUGUAAUAUUUGAGGGGCUUUUAGUGCAGGAAUUAAAGGCUAAUACUUGGCCUGGCCAGACCUAUCAUUGCAUGCUAUGUCCAGACUCUCCAAAACUGUGAGAGCCUACUUUGAGUCCCUCUUUCAUAUCUUUGUAGCAUUUGAGUUCACUGAAUAUGUUGGGAGCUUCAGAUAGAAAAGGACCCUAUCCCUCCCCUCAGGGAGCUGAUGCUUGCCCAGCAGGGACAGUAGGUUAAUGAGGAGCAAAGCUCUCCCUAGUUAAUCUGGCUCCAAGUGUAGUGUGAUGGGUCCCCUACCAGGUUACUUAAGGGUAUAUGUCCACUGCCUGAACCUUAAAGGCCAGGUGGUGAGCUAAGGCUGUCGUGCCCAGCCGAGGAGCAGGUGUCUCUGAGAACACAAACAUACCAAGGAAAACAGUCCCAUCACACAGGCACAGUAGGCAAAGAGCCAAAUAAUUAGCUUAAAUGAGAGAUGGGAAGUGGGAUGAAUCUCUAGAGCUGUCCUGCUGCUGCCCAGGAGUGCUCUGUAAGUAAGUCUUAAUAAACCCAUCUACUCACCAAGCUGGACUUGUCCAAAACAUUUUGGUCUCCUGAUACCUUCCCAGUUUGGGGGGUGGGUGGUGGGGAGGAAACAUUACAGUCCUAAGUUUUUCUCAUAACACCAAGUGGAUUCAUUUAGAAGGCAAUUUCCUAGCAAACAUCAAAUUCACAGCUCUCCCUGGAUCAAGAGUGGUAAGCUUUCUAGUAAAAUGAUCUGUUUGGAAUCAGAUCUACUUAAGUCUAAAUCCCUUUUCUGCCUUGGACAAGUCACUGAAUCUCAUUGAGCCUCAGUUCUCUCUACUAUAAAAUGCAAAUGACAUCUAACUCAAGACUCUACAUGAGGAUUAAAUGAGGAAAUGUUAUACAAAGCACAUGGCAUAAUUCCUGGCAAACAGGAGAUACUCAAUAAAGGGUAGUUUCCCUUCUUCUUCCUUCUCUCUUCCCAGACCUCACAAGAAGAGGAGUGUGGCCUCUUAGUGAGAUGAUAUAAAAGAGACUCUAACAAUAUUAAACACUUCAGUAGCACCUACUACAUCCCAGGCACUAUUCUAAGCACAUCUGUAUUUCAGCUCAUAUAAGUCUUCCCUAAAACCCAAUAAGAUAAGAGCUAUUAUCAUCUCUACUUCAUAAAUGAGAUAGCAGGUAACUUUCUGAAGUCACACAGUUAGAAUGUAUGUGAUGCGGCUAUGAUUUGAUCCCAGUUUAUCUAGCUCUUAACUAUCACAUUAUUAGGAAACAGAUAGUGAGAGAGGUGCUAACUGUAUCUGGAACUCAAGUACACAAAACAAGCAGUCCUCAGACAAUGAGCUCUGUUUGAUUUGCACAGUGUUUUAAAAAUCAAGUCUAUAUUUCUGACUGCUCUCAAAAAAGUUGGAAGAUCUGGCACUAGGCAGCUCACAUACUGAUGUGGCAACAAGCCUUUGACUGGUGGCUGCUGUCUGGACUGAGGUCCCCAGUUCACCAGUCUCCAGUACUCACAGUCGUAUUACAGGGCCGGCUUCACUUUUGACCUGCACAUACAUUUGAGCUUGUCGUCCAGAAUUAGGUAAUGAUGCUAAACCGUAAAGACACAAGAAUCGUGUUCAAUAACGUGCACCCAAUGGUUAAAAUGUUUGAAUUAAAUGAAGGAAAAAAAUGAACGUAGGAAAGAGGUCUGCGUGAAAAGCAAUCAACAACCAGGUUCAAACACAACCACGCAGAAAAUGCCUGGAUAAGCCUUUGAGCCCUAUGUGCAGAAAUUGUAAACUCCUGCUCUUUUCCAUAUCUCCACACCUAAAUAAAAACCUGAAAAUGCAAGUUUCCUUACAGUCCAUGGAGCAAAGACUCUUUUGCCUUCAAUGUUAAAUGUGUUCCUCUUUGGCAUAGCUAAAAGAGGGAGUUUAAAUUUUCAUGUACUACUUAACCCAAACAAUAUUUUUUUCUCUCUCUUUUUUUUUUUUAGCUCUUUAGGCCUUAAUGAUUGACAUGAUCUUGGAAAACAGGUAUGUAGCAAAACUCUCCUAGAAACCUGAAAGAUGUGGCAAGAAGAAAACAUGGAGCCUUUUCUGAACAAGCCUAUGAGAGAAGAAGAAUCACUUCAAUUUAUUAAGUGUGGAUUCUGGGGCUAAAGAACUUACCUACAACCACACAGCCAGCAAAUUACUGACCCAGCAUAUUCUGAACCCAGGUCUUUAUUCUUUCCAAAACUUCACAGCACCUUCCUCAGAGCAUCUCUACAUGAAAAUCUGUAUAAAGAAGUGAUCUGUGGUGUCGCCAUUUGUAUCAAAAUGGUAUCACAAACUUAUUUAAAAGGCUUCAUCUAAAAGUCUUCAGAGUUUUGGCCAGGGAAGAGCUCUAAUAUCACACAUUAAUAACCUUACCUUUGUAACAUGUAAAUUGUUUUUUGUUUUAACAUCUCAGUUUCAUUAAACUGAGACC